AGUGUUUAUUGAUUUGUGCUGCUGUGCCAAGGGAAACACACACCCCUCUGCCUGGCGUGAGAGUUAAAAAAAAGAGAGACAGCCCGAGGGAUCGAGACCUGAACAUGUGGUGGUGGUGGUUGCACAGUCGCCUUUUCCAGUUUGGAGAGACGUUUUACAAAUUAUAAUACUGUGGUAGAAACAAAUUCAGAUUCAGAUGAUGAAGACAAACUGCAUAUUGUGGAAGAAGAAAGUGUUACAGAUGCAGCUGACUGUGAAGGUGUACCAGAGGAUGACCUGCCAACAGACCAGACAGUGUUACCAGGGAGGAGCAGUGAAAGAGAAGGGAAUGCUAAGAACUGCUGGGAGGAUGACACAGGAAAGGAAGGGCAAGAAAUCCUGGGGCCUGAAGCUCAGGCAGAUGAAGCAGGAUGUACAGUAAAAGAUGAUGAAUGCGAGUCAGAUGCAGAAAAUGAGCAAAACCAUGAUCCUAAUGUUGAAGAGUUUCUACAACAACAAGACACUGCUGUCAUUUUUCCUGAGGCACCUGAAGAGGACCAGAGGCAGGGCACACCAGAAGCCAGUGGUCAUGAUGAAAAUGGAACACCAGAUGCAUUUUCACAAUUACUCACCUGUCCAUAUUGUGAUAGAGGCUAUAAACGCUUUACCUCUCUGAAAGAACACAUUAAAUAUCGUCAUGAAAAGAAUGAAGAUAACUUUAGUUGCUCCCUGUGCAGUUACACCUUUGCAUACAGAACCCAACUUGAACGUCACAUGACAUCACAUAAAUCAGGAAGAGAUCAAAGACAUGUGACGCAGUCUGGGUGUAAUCGUAAAUUCAAAUGCACUGAGUGUGGAAAAGCUUUCAAAUACAAACAUCACCUAAAAGAGCACUUAAGAAUUCACAGUGGAGAGAAGCCAUAUGAAUGCCCAAACUGCAAGAAACGCUUUUCCCAUUCUGGCUCCUAUAGCUCACACAUAAGCAGUAAGAAAUGUAUCAGCUUGAUACCUGUGAAUGGGCGACCAAGAACAGGACUCAAGACAUCUCAGUGUUCUUCACCGUCUCUUUCAGCAUCACCAGGCAGUCCCACACGACCACAGAUACGGCAAAAGAUAGAGAAUAAACCCCUUCAAGAACAACUUUCUGUUAACCAAAUUAAAACUGAACCUGUGGAUUAUGAAUUCAAACCCAUAGUGGUUGCUUCAGGAAUCAACUGUUCAACCCCUUUACAAAAUGGGGUUUUCACUGGUGGUGGCCCAUUACAGGCAACCAGUUCUCCUCAGGGCAUGGUGCAAGCUGUUGUUCUGCCAACAGUUGGUUUGGUGUCUCCCAUAAGUAUCAAUUUAAGUGAUAUUCAGAAUGUACUUAAAGUGGCGGUAGAUGGUAAUGUAAUAAGGCAAGUGUUGGAGAAUAAUCAAGCCAAUCUUGCAUCCAAAGAACAAGAAACAAUCAAUGCUUCACCCAUACAACAAGGUGGCCAUUCUGUUAUUUCAGCCAUCAGUCUUCCUUUGGUUGAUCAAGAUGGAACAACCAAAAUUAUCAUCAACUACAGUCUUGAGCAGCCUAGCCAACUUCAAGUUGUUCCUCAAAAUUUAAAAAAAGAAAAUCCAGUCGCUACAAACAGUUGUAAAAGUGAAAAGUUACCAGAAGAUCUUACUGUUAAGUCUGAGAAGGACAAAAGCUUUGAAGGGGGGGUGAAUGAUAGCACUUGUCUUCUGUGUGAUGAUUGUCCAGGAGAUAUUAAUGCACUUCCAGAAUUAAAGCACUAUGACCUAAAGCAGCCUACUCAGCCUCCUCCACUCCCUGCAGCAGAAGCUGAGAAGCCUGAGUCCUCUGUUUCAUCAGCUACUGGAGAUGGCAAUUUGUCUCCUAGUCAGCCACCUUUAAAGAACCUCUUGUCUCUCCUAAAAGCAUAUUAUGCUUUGAAUGCACAACCAAGUGCAGAAGAGCUCUCAAAAAUUGCUGAUUCAGUAAACCUACCACUGGAUGUAGUAAAAAAGUGGUUUGAAAAGAUGCAAGCUGGACAGAUUUCAGUGCAGUCUUCUGAACCAUCUUCUCCUGAACCAGGCAAAGUAAAUAUCCCUGCCAAGAACAAUGAUCAGCCUCAAUCUGCAAAUGCAAAUGAACCCCAGGACAGCACAGUAAAUCUACAAAGUCCUUUGAAGAUGACUAACUCCCCAGUUUUACCGGUGGGAUCAACCACCAAUGGUUCCAGAAGUAGUACACCAUCCCCAUCACCUCUAAACCUUUCCUCAUCCAGAAAUACACAGGGUUACUUGUACACAGCUGAGGGUGCACAAGAAGAGCCACAAGUAGAACCUCUUGAUCUUUCGCUACCAAAGCAACAGGGAGAAUUAUUAGAAAGGUCAACUAUCACUAGUGUUUACCAGAACAGUGUUUAUUCUGUCCAGGAAGAACCCUUGAACUUGUCUUGCGCAAAAAAGGAGCCACAAAAGGACAGUUGUGUUACAGACUCAGAACCAGUUGUAAAUGUAAUCCCACCAAGUGCCAACCCCAUAAAUAUCGCUAUACCUACAGUCACUGCCCAGUUACCCACAAUCGUGGCCAUUGCUGACCAGAACAGUGUUCCAUGCUUACGAGCGCUAGCUGCCAAUAAGCAAACGAUUCUGAUUCCCCAGGUGGCAUACACCUACUCAACUACGGUCAGCCCUGCAGUCCAAGAACCACCCUUGAAAGUGAUCCAGCCAAAUGGAAAUCAGGAUGAAAGACAAGAUACUAGCUCAGAAGGAGUAUCAAAUGUAGAGGAUCAGAAUGACUCUGAUUCUACACCUCCC
rnacentral:sRNA from 1 species